AUUGAACGCUGGCGGCAUGCCUUACACAUGCAAGUCGAACGGUAACGGGUCCUUCGGGAUGCCGACGAGUGGCGAACGGGUGAGUAAUAUAUCGGAACGUGCCCAGUAGUGGGGGAUAACUGCUCGAAAGAGCAGCUAAUACCGCAUACGACCUGAGGGUGAAAGGGGGGGAUCGCAAGACCUCUCGCUAUUGGAGCGGCCGAUAUCAGAUUAGCUAGUUGGUGGGGUAAAGGCCUACCAAGGCAACGAUCUGUAGUUGGUCUGAGAGGACGACCAGCCACACUGGGACUGAGACACGGCCCAGACUCCUACGGGAGGCAGCAGUGGGGAAUUUUGGACAAUGGGCGCAAGCCUGAUCCAGCAAUGCCGCGUGCAGGAAGAAGGCCUUCGGGUUGUAAACUGCUUUUGUCAGGGAAGAAAUCUUCUGGGCUAAUACCCCGGGAGGAUGACGGUACCUGAAGAAUAAGCACCGGCUAACUACGUGCCAGCAGCCGCGGUAAUACGUAGGGUGCGAGCGUUAAUCGGAAUUACUGGGCGUAAAGCGUGCGCAGGCGGCUUUGCAAGACAGAUGUGAAAUCCCCGGGCUCAACCUGGGAACUGCAUUUGUGACUGCAAGGCUAGAGUACGGCAGGGGGGGAUGGAAUUCCGCGUGUAGCAGUGAAAUGCGUAGAUAUGCGGAGGAACACCAAUGGCGAAGGCAAUCCCCUGGGCCUGUACUGACGCUCAUGCACGAAAGCGUGGGGAGCAAACAGGAUUAGAUACCCUGGUAGUCCACGCCCUAAACGAUGUCAACUGGUUGUUGGACGGCUUGCUGUUCAGUAACGAAGCUAACGCGUGAAGUUGACCGCCUGGGGAGUACGGCCGCAAGGUUGAAACUCAGAGGAAUUGACGGGGACCCGCACAAGCGGUGGAUGAUGUGGUUUAAUUCGAUGCAACGCGAAAAACCUUACCUACCCUUGACAUGUCAAGAAUUCUGCAGAGAUGUGGAAGUGCUCGAAAGAGAACUUGAACACAGGUGCUGCAUGGCCGUCGUCAGCUCGUGUCGUGAGAUGUUGGGUUAAGUCCCGCAACGAGCGCAACCCUUGUCAUUAGUUGCUACGCAAGAGCACUCUAAUGAGACUGCCGGUGACAAACCGGAGGAAGGUGGGGAUGACGUCAGGUCCUCAUGGCCCUUAUGGGUAGGGCUACACACGUCAUACAAUGGCCGGUACAGAGGGCUGCCAACCCGCGAGGGGGAGCCAAUCCCAGAAAACCGGUCGUAGUCCGGAUCGUAGUCUGCAACUCGACUGCGUGAAGUCGGAAUCGCUAGUAAUCGUGGAUCAGCUUGCCGCGGUGAAUACGUUCCCGGGUCU
rnacentral:rRNA from 1 species